GGGGUGGUGGCGCAGCUGGCUAGCGCGUAGGUCUCAUAAUCCUGAGGUCGAGAGUUCGAGCCUCUCUCACCCCA
rnacentral:tRNA from 1 species